ensembl:lncRNA
GUGGGGGGGGAAGUAAAGCAAGAAAUUCCAAGCAGUAUUAAUACUUGCCUGGAGUUUUUUUGUAAAGCACAGUUAGCCUUAUAAGGAAAACCUUGUCUGUUAAUCAUAGAAAACUUUUCUCUGUACACUCUUAGUAUCUGAAAGCAUGAUGGGAAAUUAUGCAGUUUUUUUUUCAGUAGUUUGUCACUGCAUGCUACCAGAAAAACAGCUCAGUUCUUUAGAUCUGACUUGUGUUGACUUUCAAAUAUCAAAGCUACUAGUGAGAUGACUGUCAGGAGCAGACAUUUUGAGUAAUAGCUAGUUCAUAGGCAGUAAAUGUGCAUAAGACUAGAUGGGGAUGUCCCCUGGUGUGGCACCGUGGGAGUUCUGCAUAGCUGACAUUAUCAUGAGAAACUGCAUGCAAUACUUGAUGUUCUGCUUUUCACCAAUUCUCAUCUUUAAAGUACAUCAUUUUUGGUAGUUUAUAAGUGGUGUCUUAAACUCUGUUUUAGUACCCACAGAUUUCUUGAAAUCUUUCUGUACCACCUUCCAUCAUUAGACUAGAACUUACUCCUGCAGUUUUCUCCUUUACUCAUGUUUAGUAGCUUCAGAGUAGUUGAUACAAGUAUCAUUCACCAUAUAAAAUACAGAACUGUCACUGGUACAGAAGAUAAAGCAGUUGAUCAUAAAGCAGUGGACUGUGUCAUGUCUUGACUCUUCAUCAUAGCAUUACACUUAAAAAAAAUGAUUUGGUCUCUGGCCAUUGGCUUUUUUGAUUAUUAUUACUUUAUUAUUUAGAAUGAGGUCUAGAUGAGAAGGUAUUGUGAAAAGAACUAAAUGUCUCUGAGAUUCUUCUCUAGUCUUCUCAGUACAUCCUUCUUGUGCCUUCCUGAUGACUCAUCUGUUGGCUCUUACUCUACUUCAGUGUAGCAAUGUUAGUAGGUACCUGUCUACCUUUACUUGGUUUGGUAAAUGUGGGGGGAGUGGAGACUGCCUGCUAAUGUCUAACACAGGUGACACUGGAAAUGAGUUUUCACCCUAACAUCAUCCUAUGCUGCAAGUUCUGAAGCUCUUCAUGUUUCAGAAGGAGAUUUUGAAAUGCAGAAGGCAGACAGAAAAUGAUACGUGGCAAGAAGAUCUCUCUUAGUACUUUGUGCCCCCUUUCAACUAUCGCAUAACAACGCUGGAAGUUCCUGUUGCAGUAUGAUAUCGCUCAGGAUGCUGAAGUUCCUUUUGCACAAGUUUUGCACUCCGAACUACUCAGUUCAUAAGGUGAUUCCAGUCUGAAAGUUGUUAGCAUUCUUCUGUAUGUCACAAAGUGUGUGCUCCUUGAAUCUGUCAGUUCCUUGCAGUAGAAAUACAGCCCUGCUCUUGCAGUAAUGGUCUGUGAGUGUUUCUGAAAGUGUUGGAUGGGAUUUCUGUGCAGGUGAGUAUGCUGUAAGAACUGACUAGGUCUUAGCUCAAAUAAGCUUGCUGACAUACUUGUAAGAAUAAAUGUAGAGAGAAUUUCAAGAGUUGUCAUGAGCAGCAAACAUACUAGAGGUCUUUGGAGUGUUUUGAACAGUCAGCCUCUUGAGCUUGGAAAUGCUCCUAAGAAAUGGACUGGAGAUUCUGAGAGGAAAAAAAAAAGAUUGGUUCUAGUCUUCUUGGUCUGUAUGCUUUAAUAUCUGGAUGCCUGGGUAAGUAAAGUAGUCCUUUCCUUUUCUUCCUGUUUGCAUAUCCAUUUACAGAAAACAGGUAUCCCAGGUGAAAUCAAAUGGUAAAACUGAAUACAUCCUGAUGACCAGCAUUUAAGAGGCUGCUUCAUCAGGAUAGUGAAUGCAGGUUUUGCUCCGUGAGAAUUCAUGAGCAAUCUAAAAUACAGGUUGUCUGCACAGAUCAGUGAAAACACUUUGGCUGCCCAGGCCUGAGUCAGCUCCUGUUUGAGGCUGUUUUCAAUUAGGAUGUUUCAUUUUACCUUUAAUUUCCUAGCAACUCGUGUCUAAGGAUUGUGCCAAUGACUUUGACAACAGAUGCUCACUUCUUGUAUCUACUGCUCAAGUUAUUUCUGUCUUUUUUUUAAGAUCUGAUUAUUUAAAUUAAGCCGGUAAUAAAGUGCCCAGUCAGUAGAAAAAAAAAAGUUAUAUGUGGACUCAUAGAGGUACUGUCCUUGUGGUUUAGAAGAGGAAAAUAGAUUUAUUCAUAUCACAUUUGUGUGAAUAAACUAUAUCCAAAUAUGAGAGAAGGUUGAGAUGGAUAGAAGAAAAAACUUAGUGGUAGAGUAGGGGAGAGAAUGAAAGGGAAGAAAGAUAAUUAUUGAAAUGGAAGCUACAGGUAGGUGAUGUUAAGACUAAGCUUUCUUCACUGAAGUGUUGGACAGUUUGGAUUGAUAACAGUGUUUUUCCUCCUCUGGAUCUCCAUAAUGCUGCAGAAAUUGUAUGUAUCGCAAGCCUAGUUUUGUAAACACUGAACUCAGGUUUUUUUCUUUGUUCUAUGAUUUUAGUGCAGGGAAACAGGAAGGGUGGAAAAAAAGCCUUCAGAGCUUUCUUUGCUGAAUUGGUGGACUAUUGUUAAUUCUUAACAUUAUACCUUUGCAUUAAGUACUGAAUGUGUGGAAAAGUGUUUAGGCUUCUCAAAGGUAUCUAGUCUUGCUCUGAUCACAUACUAUAUACAGAGGCUUUGGG